rnacentral:rRNA from 1 species
CAGUAGCCGCGGUAAUACGGAGGGUGCAAGCGUUAAUCGGAAUUACUGGGCGUAAAGCGUGCGCAGGCGGUUAUAUAAGACAGAUGUGAAAUCCCCGGGCUCAACCUGGGACCUGCAUUUGUGGCUGUAUAGCUAGAGUACGGUAGAGGGGGAUGGAAUUCCGCGUGUAGCAGUGAAAUGCGUAGAUAUGCGGAGGAACACCGAUGGCGAAGGCAAUCCCCCGGACCUGUACUGACGCUCAUGUACGAAAGCGUGGGGAGCAAACAGGAUUAGAUACCCCCGUAGUCCCUGUCUCUUAUAC